GUCUGACUCUGGUGCCCCUGCUGUGAAGAGCUGUGCCCUGCUGCAUUCCUCCUGUAGCUGCACGAAAGGGAAACAUCAAUUCCAGAAGGGUGAAUUAGAUGAAAUAUGAUAAGACUAGUGUGUGACAGAUUCAGGUUUGACGCUUCAGUUGGAUUGAAUCGAAAGAGAGGUAUAUUUGGUAUCAGGCGUUUGUGGUGGCAUGUGAAAUCAUUAUCCACGUUUGAUAACAGUUUGACUUUUUGCCUGCUGUAAUAAUAGUAGCACCUUGGAAGUUGUUUUCAACCAUAUCCAGCCUUUGCCGAAUACAUCCUAUCUGCCACACAUCCAGCGUGAGGUCCCUCCAGCUACAAGGUGGGCACCAUGGCGGAGAAGUUUGACUGCCACUACUGCAGGGAUCCCUUGCAGGGGAAGAAGUA
rnacentral:lncRNA from 10 species